UACGUAGGGGGCAAGCGUUGUCCGGAAUCAUUGGGCGUAAAGCGCGUGUAGGCGGCCCGAUAAGUCCGCUGUGAAAGUCCAGGGCUCAACCCUGGGAUGCCGGUGGAUACUGUCGGGCUCGAGUCCGGAAGAGGCGAGUGGAAUUCCUGGUGUAGCGGUGAAAUGCGCAGAUAUCAGGAAGAACACCAAUGGCGAAAGCAGCUCUCUGGGACGGUACUGACGCUGAGACGCGAAAGCGUGGGGAGCGAACAGG
rnacentral:rRNA from 1 species